rnacentral:tRNA from 1 species
GGAGAAAUACCCAAGAGGCUGAAGGGGCUCCCCUGCUAAGGGAGUAGUACGGGUGACCGUAGCGAGGGUUCAAAUCCCUCUUUCUCCGCCA